rnacentral:rRNA from 1 species
CACGGCCCAGACUCCUACGGGAGGCAGCAGUGGGGAAUUUUGGACAAUGGGCGCAAGCCUGAUCCAGCAAUGCCGCGUGAGUGAAGAAGGCCUUCGGGUUGUAAAGCUCUUUUGUCAGGGAAGAAACGGUGGGAGCUAAUAUCUCCCACUAAUGACGGUACCUGAAGAAUAAGCACCGGCUAACUACGUGCCAGCAGCCGCGGUAAUACGUAGGGUGCAAGCGUUAAUCGGAAUUACUGGGCGUAAAGCGUGCGCAGGCGGUUUUGUAAGUCUGAUGUGAAAUCCCCGGGCUCAACCUGGGAAUUGCAUUGGAGACUGCAAGGCUAGAGUUUGGCAGAGGGGGGUAGAAUUCCACGUGUAGCAGUGAAAUGCGUAGAUAUGUGGAGGAACACCGAUGGCGAAGGCAGCCCCCUGGGUCAAGACUGACGCUCAUGCACGAAAGCGUGGGGAGCAAACAGGAUUAGAUACCCUGGUAGUCCACGCCCUAAACGAUGUCUACUAGUUGUCGGGUCUUAAUUGACUUGGUAACGCAGCUAACGCGUGAAGUAGACCGCCUGGGGAGUACGGUCGCAAGAUUAAAACUCAAAGGAAUUGACGGA